AAAACCUAAAAAUAUCAGUUCCCCAUCCACUUCUUUCAUUUUCAUCUCCUCUCUCUCAGCUCACUCUUCUGUCUCUCUCUCAUCUCUCUUCUUCUCCCUCCCGUCAUGAUGUCUUCAUCGUCCUCCUCCUCCUCAUCUCUAUCCUUCUCCCUCCUGUCUAUGCAAAGUUCUCACAGAGCUGUGGUGGCACCAGUGCUCUGGUGGCUGCGGUGGGUGUUGGCAGCGAUUAUCAGCUAGUUUAAGGAUUAAUUAAAGGUUAGUGGGUAACUCAAGUUGAUUUCAUGCCAGUAAUUAUCAGCUAGCUUGAGGUAAUUUGUCUGUCCUAAUUAUUAGAAAAUUUCUCUAAUUAUGUGGAAUAAUUUGUCUGAUUUUGGGACUCAAUUUGGACUGAAUAUACAAUAUGAAUUUUCGUAUUAAUUUGGGACUGUAUUAAUUUCGUAUAUUUCUUCAAUUUACAGUAUGAAAUUUCAUUUGGGUGAAAUUUGUUUCUUUAAUUUAAACAAUAUCUUUAAUUUGUUUUGGCCAAAAAUGUAUGCUUAAGGUAAUUUGUUGGGAAUUAAAAUGCUGAAUUAGUCAGUCAAUUAGGACUGAAUUUGGGUCACUGUCCGGUGACAUUUUUCGGGUAACAAUUGAUUUUGUUAGCUGAAUUCGGGUCUCUUAAUUGAAUCAAAAGAUAUAUGUUAAUUUACUCAAUUGUUGGUAUAAUUGAUUUUGCCAUUGAUUUUAGGUCUGCCUUAUCAAUCUUAUCAGUGAUUUUGGGAUUGUCUUGUGUUAAUUGAUUCAAUGGUAUAUUUGUUAUUUCUGAUGGAAUUCCCCACGAAAUUUUUGUCAAAAUUAUUCAUUUGCAAAAUUUGUGGCCCUACAUGUAUUUAUGUAUUAUUUAAUUAGUUUCCCAAUAUUAAAAUAAAAUAAGUAGCAUUUACUUAGUUUCUUACUAAUAAAAUAAAAUAAAAUAAAAUAAAUUUAAUUUAAUUUAGUUUAUUAAAUAAAAUAAAUUUAAAAAAAUAGAUAAUAUAUAUAAUACAAAAUAAAAUAAUAAAUAAUAAUAAAAUAAAUUGAAUUGAAUAAAAUAAAAGAAAUUUAAUUUAAUUAAUAAAAUAAUAUUUAAUAAAAAAAUGUUUAAAAAUAUAUAAUAUAAUAUAAUACAAAAUAAAAUACAAUACAAUAAAAUAAAAUAUAAUAAUAAAAUUAAAUAAAUUUAAUGAAAUUAAAUACAAUAAAAUGAAAUAAAAUAAAUAUUUUAAUUUAAUAUAAUAAAAAAUUAAAAUAUUAUAUAAUAUAAUACAAAAUAAAUUAAAUAAAAUAUAAUAAUAAAUUAAAUUUAAUAAAAUAAAAUAAAUUGAAGUUUAUUUUAUUAAUAAAAAAAAUUAUAUAAUAUAAUAUAGUACGAAAUAAAAUAAAAUAGAAUAAAACAUAAUAAAUAAUAAAAUAAAAUUUAAUAAAAUAAAAUAAAUUUAACUUAAUUUUAUGGAAAAAAAAUCAAACCAAUUAUAUACUAUAAUAUAAUAUAAUACAAAAUAAAAUAAAAUACAAUAAUAAACUAAGUAACAUUUUCUUAGUUGAGAUGUAAUUAAAAUAAACUAAAUAAGUGUCUAAAUUAAAUAAUAUACUUUGGAACUUAAUUAGAAACCCGUUUGACAAGUGGGAGUGAAUGUCGAACAAUAGUCCCCGUAUUCAAAUAAUAAAAUUAAAUUAAAUAAAUUAUAUUUAAUUAAUUAGUAUACGAUAAUAUAAUAUAAAAUAAAAUAAAUUAUAGACUACUAUCGCAAAGAGAGUAAGUAGCCUUUUUGUUUCUAUAGCUUCAAAGUCGCCCCCUACCCUAUGAUAAAGAAAAGGAACUAAAGGGUUUAUAGGGGACUUUAUUAGACUUUAGUUUAGUGAGUGGAUUCUGUUGUGGAUGAAUGCGCUUAAGCAAUAAUAGUGGCAGAAUUUAGUCGCACUAUGUUCUUGAUCUGUCGAAUCUAUCGUUAUGUUUCUGAGAUUCUUCUAAAUGCCCUUUCUCUUUCGUUAAUGGUUACGAUGUCAAUUGGGUACCCCAUUCAUCUAUCUUCAUUGAAAUGGAAUUUCUCAUUCUCUUGCUUCAAUUACAGCUUCUCUCGAUCCUGGAAUUCCUUAAAGUUUAUUAAUGCUAAAUUAGCAUAAAAUAAUUGAAAUUAACUAAGUAGCAUUUGCUUAGUUUGCCACAAUUAAAAUAAACUGAAUAAGUACUAUAUGUAUAUAUACAUAUAUGUACAAUACUUUGGAACUUAGAAACCCGUUUGACAAGUAAGAGUGAAUGUCGAAUAAUAGUCCCCAUAUUCAAAUAACAGUUCUCAUAAACUGAGUAGCAAUUACUUAAUUUUUCAUUGGUAAAAUAAACUAAGUAACAUUUGCUUAGUUUGCCAGAAUAUUCAAUAAACUCAUGAAUACUCUAUUUUCAAUCUUUAAUACACUCAACAGACCACUUAGUUUGACAUUAUCCUCAAUAAACUCAGUAGUUAUAAUUUAUUAUGAAUAUACAUUUUAUAAGCGUAUAUCCUUCCAUUAACCUGCAAAUAUGUUGACCGUCUUAGUUGAUCUAGCAAGGGGUUAUUUGACAGUAGUUGGAAGGUACAGGAGCAACAUAAGUUGGCAUCAACAUGGUAUUAUGAAAAUUAUCAACCAACUCAUUGUGAAGAAAGCAUUAACUAUCUUGGCUUUCUUUAGAAUUCGUCCCUACAACUGCAAUUUGGGACAUUUAUAAGUUCUCAUUCUCCACUUAAUCUUCAUACUUAAGGUUAUUACAUAUUUUAUCCUUUUAAAACAGAAAGCUAUAAAUUACAAUGAACUAUAUAUGAAUGAGCAAAGAAGAGCAACUAAUUAACAGGUUAAUUGUAGAACGUGCGAUUAAAAAUCUUGGAAAUUCAAGUGGUCUUAAGUGGGCAAUGAAUAGCGCAAAGAGGGCGAAGAAAGUAAGGUGCAAAAAAUACUCUACCCCGUCACCACACUUUAUGGUUUUGGGUCAACUCUUUAUGUGACACGACGACUUUGAGUAUUCUCUACCAUCUAUUUUUUGCCCUCACUGCGGUAUUUAUUGCCCACUCAAGACCUCUGGAACAUCCAAGAAUCCUAAUCACAAGUUCUAGCAUUGACUGGUUAAUUAGUUGCUCAAAUUUGUUCAUUCAUAUAUAGUUUAGUACUAUAAUUUAUGAGCUUUAUGUUGUUACAUGAUAAAAGCUAUAAUACUUGUAAGGGGGAAGAUGAAGUGGAGAGGGUAUAACUUAUACAUAUCCUAAAAUGCGUUUGCGGGGCGGGAUUGUGAAGAAAGCCAAGACAACUAAUGUUUUCUUCAUAAUGAGCUGAGUGAUAAUUUGCAUAAUAUCAUGUUGAUGCCAACUACAUUAGAACAAUCCCUUGCCAGAUAAAAUAAGGCAGUCGAUAUAUUUGCAGGUUAAUGGAAUGAUAUAUGUAUUAUAUUUUGGAACUUAGAAACCCAUUUAAAAUUCACUCAUUAUGAGUGAAUGUCGAAUAGUCCCUAGUUUGGGACUGUUACUGGAUGUUAUGUCUCUCACUUAGGCCUGUGCCAAUUCAUAAGGUACUUUUUUUUUAGGAUUUUUCGGCUGUUAUCUCUACAUAUGUUUUGAGUAUAUACUUAGAUUAAGUUAUCUUAGUCUAUUUUGUGUACUUAGAGACCAUGGGAGGUGCUAUGAAAAUUUUCUUGAAACAGAAGAAAUGUGCUCAACGUGUUGGCAUUAGUGAGGAGACGCAUUCAGGAACGGGAUAAAAGUCUUACCCUUGUAGAGUAGAGAUUCAUGAACGAGCAUGUGUUAGACAAUGUUCAACUAGACCCAAAUGAUAUAGCGACUACCUUUUACAAGAUGUUAUCUGAAUUGGGGGUCCCAUUGUAUCCUGAAAAUGAUAAGCAUAACAGGCUAUCUGCAGUGACUAAGCUCUUACACUUUAAUAAUGAGCAUGUCUGAAAUGAGAGAGGUUUAAAUGAUUUACUUUCUCUUAUCAGCGAGUUGUUACCCAAGGAUCAUCCUUUGCCCGCGAAUUAUUACGAAGUGAAGAAGAUGAUCAAGGUGUUGAAUAUGGGUUAUCAGAAGAUCGAUGCUUAUGAAGAGGAUUACAUGUUAUAUUAUGGGGCAGACAGAGAUAAGGGACAGUGUAAUAUAUGCAGCUUUCCCCGGUACAAGGUGACAAAACGUGGGGGGAAAGAGAAACAUGUGCACAAUAAGAUCUCACAUUACUUUCCUCUUGCGCCGAGGCUUCAACGGCUAUUCAUGUCAUCCCACACGACUUAACAUAUAACUUUAUUUAGAACAAGGGACGUCGUGUCUGGUCAGCUGACUCACCCUACCGAUGGAGAUGAAUGGAAACAGUUUGAUGAAAAUUUUUCAUAGUUUGCGGAGGAAGUCAAAAGCGUAAGGCUCGGCAUGGCAACAGAUGGAUUUUGCCUAUUUAAUAAUUUUAGCUAGCCUUACUCUGUUUGGCCAGUCAUAAUGGUAGCUUAUAAUCUUUCACUAUCAAUGUGCAUGAGGGAUCCGUAUUUGUUAUUUACUUUACUCAUACCAGGGGAUAAGAGUCUUACAAAAGACACAAAAGUCUACCUAAGGCCGUUAGUCGAUGAACUAAAUCGAUUGGCGAAUUUUUUUUGAUGAAGACAUCCUUGAUGUGGACUAUCACUGACUUUCUGGCUCUUGGGAUAAUUAGUGGUUAGUCGAUUCAUGGGAAGCUAUCAUGUCCAGUGUGUAUGGGGGAUGUGGAAGACACUCAGUUGUAGCAUGAGCAGAAAUGUAGUUUCUUUGGAACAGAUCAUAGAUUUUUGCCUGUUGAUCAUAGUUACAGGAAGAUGUCUGUACAGUUCAACAAAAAGACAGAGAAGAAGGGUGUUGUUGGUCGAAUGUCAGGCAGCAAGGUCUUAGGGUGGCUAAACGACCUAACAUUUCCACUGCCAUGGAAGGAGCACAAUAAAAUGAAAGCAUUCGAGUAUGGGAAGACUCAUAAUUGGACACACUUGUCCAUAUGGUUUGAGUUGUCAUAAUGGGUCUGUAACGAAUGUAUUAAUUGUGUCAUGAUUUUGGGAACAAAAUCUUUAUAAGGAGGAAAGAAUGUAACGAAUGUAAAUUUAGUAAAGAAUUCAGAAUAUUUAUUAAAUAAAAUAAAUAUUUUUAUGAAAAAUAUCUACGGAAUAAUUUAUUUAAGUGUGAUUAUGUUGAUUAAAUAUAUGUGAGAUGAUUUUAUAUUUGGUGCACAUUUUAUUACGCUAAUGUGAUGGAAAUAUUUUAAUUUAAUUAAAUAAUUAAAUUAGAGGGCUAGUAAAUGGCUAAAUAAAAAUUAUAAUUAAAUUAAAAUGUAACGAAUGUAAAUUUAGUAAAGAAUUCUAAAUAUUUAUUAAAUAAAAUAAAUAUUUUUAUGGAAAUUAUUUAUGAAAUAAUUUAUUUAAGUGCGAUUAUGUUGAUUGAAUAUAUGUGAGAUGAUUUUAUAUUUGGUGCGUAUUUUAUUACGCUAAUGUGAUGAGAAUAUUUUAAUUUAAUUAAAUAAUUAAAUUAGAGGGCUAGUAAAUGGCUAAAUAAAAUUUUUAAUUAAAUUGAUAAGGUUUAAUUAAAUUUCUUAAUAAACUUAAUUUAAUCUAAUUUAAAAUAUCACAAUUGGCUUAAUGGGUAAAUAAUUUGGGAAUGUAAUUAUCAGUAUUUUAGGAAGAAUGUGGCUAAAUAAUUUAGUAAUAAAAUUAAGUGUGACAUAUGUAUCAUAUAAUAGAGAAAUAUUAAAAUAAAUAAAAAGGGAGCUUAAUUGAGUUUAGCCAAACAAGGCUAAGACUCUUUAUUUUUUUAACUGCUGAGACCCCUUGUUUGUUAGUAACUAAUAAUCCAACUUAAGUUUACAUAAACCCAUUCUUCAGUUAUUCUUUACUCUCAUUUUUCAUAAGUCUUAGAAAGAGAGUGAGAGAGUGGUUUGAGUUCUCUGUGAAAUUUGGAGAAGAGUUUGGAAAAUCAAGGAGGAGAAGGAAGGAGUAAUUAACAUUCUUCAUUAUCUAGCUAAGCAAAAGAAGAUUCAAAAGGUAAGGAAAAGAAUCCUAAAUUUCUUAAUCUAUAUUUUCUUAAAGUUCUUCACUGUAGAAAUUAUUUUGGUGGAUUGAUUAGAUGAGAAAAUGAAAUAUGGGUUUAUGGGUGUAAUUAAUCUGUUUAGUAUCAUCUAUAACUGAUAUUGAAGUAGUCAAAUUCGUGUUUAUGUGUAAAAGAGGAAGAAUUAUAUAUUUGGUUUUAUUGUUCUUGUUAUGGUCUGUUUAGAGGUAAAAAUUGGUUGUGAUUACAUGCUUUAAGUCUUAAAUUGAUGGUUGAUUGUUGUAAUACUCUGAAAUACAAAAAAAAUGUAACUUGAAUAAAUCAAUAUGGUUGUAAAUUGAAUUCGUGGUGGAUAAUUUCGUUAAGUAUGUCAAAAUAUGAAAAACUAGCAUGAACAUGAAAUUUAAAUCUUUAAUUUGGUUGAUGGAAGUUUUUGAAUUGUUGAAAUCAGUCUAUAUAUGUGUUAUGUUGUGUUUACUGAGUUUAUAGCUUCUAAAAUUGGUUAAUUUGGUUCUAGAAUAAAGAAAAUGUGUAAUUUGGAUGAAGGCGGUGUGUUCUUCAGGAAUUGCAUAAACCAAGUCUGUACUGCAGCGCCGCCGCGUUAGAAUUUAAGCUAAUCUUGGCGCGGCCGCGCUAGUGUCCAGUAUAAAAAGUGGUGCGGCUGCGCCAGUAUCAGAACAGACCCAGUAAUGAACUGUUAAGUGUGCAGUCUGGAGGAAGUUAACUUAUUUUAUUCUAAUGAUUGUAGUGAAGACUAAAACAUGUAAUAAGACAAAAUAUCAGAUUGUAAUCACAAAGAUGAUACUAUAAGUUAUGAACUAAGAAUUUAUUAAAGUCUUUAUUUCGGUAUUCGUGAGAAGUGGAGAUGUCGUUUAAACGCCAUGUCUUGUAUUAUAUCCUAUUAGAGGUUUUAGAUUCAUGAUAUAUGAAUAACUAGGAUAUUCAGAUCUUGAACUAAGAUAAUAAAGUUAACUAAAGUAGGAACUAAACCAAUAAGGUUAGUUUUAAUUUGACUAAUUGGUAUUGUGAUCUUAAUGAUCUAUGUAGGAUAUUUGAAGAACGUGAAUUGUAAGUUUGUAACGAACGUGCGAGAUAAGUUUCCUAACCUUUGCUACUUUAUUAUUAAAUGUGGUUUCUUAAUUUGAUUGAAUGCUUAUGUUCUUGAAUGAGCUUUCUAAUUCUUCCGAAAGAUUUGAUAAUGAUAUUUAUUCGAUUAUGAAUCAUUAUUAUUCUAUCAUUGUUUAUGUACCAUUAUGUGAGAUUAUAUUGUUAUCAAACUCUUGAAUGGCUAUUGAACCCUUUUGAUUCAAUUAGUCUCUAGUUGAUGAAUGUUCUAAAGAUCUAAAAUUCCUUUGAAGCUAUUCCAAAACAAACUUCCUUUGGUGAAGAUCCAAGUGUUAAAGAUGAAAUGAACAUCCCUAUAUUAGGGGUAUAUGUUAUCGAAAACUAUAUUUUCGAGCUACGCAAUAGCGAUGAUAUGUUUGUGCACAAUACAUAAUACAAAGGGUUGAUCACCUGAAGUACGAGAUGGAUGGUCCAUAGUCUGUAAACUGUUAAAGGUUACAAUAUAAAUAUUUGAUAACCUAGAACAUAAUUCGUGAUCUUGUGACCCUCAACAUAUGCCUUUAAUCUUGAUAUUUGAGAUUUAUUUAAAAGUCGAUUAUUCCAUUAAACUUGUAGUUCUUAACUUAAAGUUUAUUAUUUUUGUAUAUUGAUAAAUAGGUUUUAUACCUACUUAUCCGGUAUCAACUAACUUCAUAUGUUGCUUAAUCCCGUGUUUAUAAGUAGCUUUUCAUGAAUUUUUGGUUUAUUUUGUAGAUUGCAUGCUUGAGAGCUCUUUUGUUGGCCUUUAAGGAUAAAUGGUGGAAAUAGGAGCUUAAAGUGAUCAAAUGUUGAAGUUAAGAUAAGCGGCAUGAAACAACAAAAGCAGAAAACCAACACUGGUGAAUAGCGCGGCCGCGCCCAAAUUGGCCUUGGGUGCAGCACGGCCAUACCAUGAUCUCUGCCAAAAUGCUCUCUAGCACUGUCGCGCCUAAUUUGACCUUGUGGACAGUGCGACCAUGUCGGUUUGGGUCUGACCAAAAUUUUGACUUCUCCUUUUAACUAGCAAAUUGGAUUGAAGCUUGGGCAAGGGUCCGACCAUAUGAACUUUAGCUUAUAUUUAGACAUAUUUCAGAUUGUAUUUGGGACCAUUCCAUAAUAAAUCCCUUUUUGGGGAUAGAUCCAUCUUGUAUAUUCCUUCUUUAAUUUCUAUGUUAGAUUAUAUUAGAGUAGAUUAGAAAAAUCCUAGAUAUAUUAGAUUUUGGAGAUUCAAGCUCUUGAAGAUCAUUGGAGAUUCAGAUUUGGAGUAAGAGAAUUCAGAUUUGCUUACCUCAAACCCUAAAUUCUCUUCUUCUCUCUUUGUAUCUUUUAAUGCUUAUUCGAUUAUGAAUUAUAGCUUUUGAUUCAAUGUUGAAUUAAAAUCUAUUUUGAUAUUACAAUGGAUCUUAUUAAGUAGUUUAUUUUAAUAUUCUUCGUUUUUAGUUUAAUUAAUUAUUAUUAGGUUGUAUAUUAUGAUUUGUGAUUAAUUUUUUAAUUUUCUAGCUAACAAUUACCGUGAUAAUCCAUAUGAAAUUGAGAAACGGAUUAUGGGUUUAGAUAUGAUCAUAAUAGCAUGCGUUUGUGGCUUCUACAUGGUGAUGGAAUUCAUGAUUCGUGCCAAGGAUAGAGAUAUAUUUAUGUGCUGCAUGUAAUCUAUUGAGAACUUGUGUUUAAACCCUCUUUAAUUGUAAUUCACAUAGAGAUAUAGUGAAUUAGUUAAUUAGGCUGUUCUUCUUAAUUCUAUCAUCUGUGGAUUUAAGUUUAUAUGGGUAUGGUGCAUUGAGAGAUGAUCAUAUUUUACCUUCGUGUUCUUGAUUAACAAUUCCGUAUAAUUAAUUUAGCUUAACGAGAAGUGUAUUGAUUUAAUUAAAACAAUAGAUAAAAUUGUAGUCUCAAGUCUUCAUUAUCUAGUUCCAUUCUGGUGGUAGUUAGAAUUAGUUUAAUUACUUAAUUUAAUUCAAAAUACUAAAUCAAUCGUUUAAAUAAAAUUAAGUUGGUUAUGGGUUAGUGAUUGGUAAUUUUUGUUAAAUAAUUCUCUUUGGGAUCGAUACUCUACUUUUAUUUUAUUACUUGUUGACCGUGUAUACUUGGACGCAUAUAUUAUUCGUGAAAACGACCAACAUAUAUUGUUCUACUUGUGGGAAAGUUGUUCUGCUCACUCUUGCAUAAAAUAUUUCAGCUAAGGUCGAAAAACCUGAUGAGUCGUCUACAAGCAAAGAAAAGGGCAAGAUGCAUAAGUAAACGAUGUUUAGUCUAUCUUUUAUUUGAGAAGCUUAUGUAAUGAACUUAUUUAUGUUUUUUAAGUUUUUAUUAUUCCGCUGUUAUGAUGUAAUAAUUAAGGUUAGAUGACCUGAG
rnacentral:lncRNA from 1 species